AGCAGCCGCGGUAAUUCCAGCUCCAAUAGCGUAUAUUAAAGUUGUUGCAGUUAAAAAGCUCGUAGUUGAAUUUCGGAAUCAGUACGCUGGUCGUGCCUUCGGUAUGUACUGGUGUCACUGGUUUCUCCCUUCUGAAGAACCAUCAUGCCAUUCACUUGGUGUGGUGGGAAAUCAGGACUGUUACUUUGAAAAAUUAGAGUGUUUAAAGCAGGCUCGCGCUUGAAUACAUUAGCAUGGAAUAAUGAAAUAGGACGUUAAUCCUAUUUUGUUGGUUUCUAGGAUCGACGUAAUGAUUAAUAGGGAUAGUUGGGGGCAUUAGUAUUCAAUUGUCAGAGGUGAAAUUCUUGGAUUUAUUGAAGACUAACUACUGCGAAAGCAUUUGCCAAGGAUGUUUUCAUUAAUCAAGAACGAAAGUUAGGGGAUCGAAGACGAUCAGAUACCGUCGUAGUCUUAACCAUAAACUAUGCCGACUAGGGAUCGGAUGAUGUUAAUUUUUAAUGA
rnacentral:rRNA from 1 species